rnacentral:rRNA from 1 species
CAACUCGCCUACAUGAAGCUGGAAUUGCUAGUAAUCAUAGGUCAGCAUACUAUGGUGAAUACGUUCCCGGGCCUUGUACACACCGCCCGUCACACCAUGAGAGUUGAGAAUACCCGAAGUCCAUGUUAAAGUGGCCGAAGGUAGGCUUGAUGAUUGGGGUGAAGUCGUAACAAGGUACC